rnacentral:lncRNA from 1 species
GUUUGAUUGUCUGAGUUGUGUACUGAUUUGUUUGAUGUUUCCACAGGUACAUAAGUUGCUUUAAGUUCAUUUUGAACUUGCUUUUGCUUGGUUGCUUAACCACUUAGGUAUAAUUUCUCUUCUUCAUGUAGUCUGGAAGACCUACUGUUACUUGGUAGGCACCUGUCUGAAGUCCUCCUUAAGAGGCAAUGCUUGUGUUUGUUUAUCUUUGUGCCAAGUAGGAAAAGUC